rnacentral:rRNA from 1 species
AGAGUUUGAUCCUGGCUCAGGACGAACGCUGGCGGCGUGCCUAAUACAUGCAAGUAGAACGCUGAAGGAGGAGCUUGCUUCUCUGGAUGAGUUGCGAACGGGUGAGUAACGCGUAGGUAACCUGCCUGGUAGCGGGGGAUAACUAUUGGAAACGAUAGCUAAUACCGCAUAAGAGUGGAUGUUGCAUGACAUUUGCUUAAAAGGUGCACUUGCAUCACUACCAGAUGGACCUGCGUUGUAUUAGCUAGUUGGUGGGGUAACGGCUCACCAAGGCGACGAUACAUAGCCGACCUGAGAGGGUGAUCGGCCACACUGGGACUGAGACACGGCCCAGACUCCUACGGGAGGCAGCAGUAGGGAAUCUUCGGCAAUGGACGGAAGUCUGACCGAGCAACGCCGCGUGAGUGAAGAAGGUUUUCGGAUCGUAAAGCUCUGUUGUAAGAGAAGAACGAGUGUGAGAGUGGAAAGUUCACACUGUGACGGUAUCUUACCAGAAAGGGACGGCUAACUACGUGCCAGCAGCCGCGGUAAUACGUAGGUCCCGAGCGUUGUCCGGAUUUAUUGGGCGUAAAGCGAGCGCAGGCGGUUAGAUAAGUCUGAAGUUAAAGGCUGUGGCUUAACCAUAGUAGGCUUUGGAAACUGUUUAACUUGAGUGCAAGAGGGGAGAGUGGAAUUCCAUGUGUAGCGGUGAAAUGCGUAGAUAUAUGGAGGAACACCGGUGGCGAAAGCGGCUCUCUGGCUUGUAACUGACGCUGAGGCUCGAAAGCGUGGGGAUCAAACAGGAUUAGAUACCCUGGUAGUCCACGCUGUAAACGAUGAGUGCUAGGUGUUAGACCCUUUCCGGGGUUUAGUGCCGUAGCUAACGCAUUAAGCACUCCGCCUGGGGAGUACGACCGCAAGGUUGAAACUCAAAGGAAUUGACGGGGGCCCGCACAAGCGGUGGAGCAUGUGGUUUAAUUCGAAGCAACGCGAAGAACCUUACCAGGUCUUGACAUCCCUCUGACCGCUCUAGAGAUAGAGUUUUCCUUCGGGACAGAGGUGACAGGUGGUGCAUGGUUGUCGUCAGCUCGUGUCGUGAGAUGUUGGGUUAAGUCCCGCAACGAGCGCAACCCCUAUUGUUAGUUGCCAUCAUUUAGUUGGGCACUCUAGCGAGACUGCCGGUAAUAAACCGGAGGAAGGUGGGGAUGACGUCAAAUCAUCAUGCCCCUUAUGACCUGGGCUACACACGUGCUACAAUGGCUGGUACAACGAGUCGCAAGCCGGUGACGGCAAGCUAAUCUCUUAAAGCCAGUCUCAGUUCGGAUUGUAGGCUGCAACUCGCCUACAUGAAGUCGGAAUCGCUAGUAAUCGCGGAUCAGCACGCCGCGGUGAAUACGUUCCCGGGCCUUGUACACACCGCCCGUCACACCACGAGAGUUUGUAACACCCGAAGUCGGUGAGGUAACCGUAAGGAGCCAGCCGCCUAAGGUGGGAUAGAUGAUUGGGGUGAAGUCGUAACAAGGUAGCCGUAUCGGAAGGUGCGGCUGGAUCACCU